ensembl:snRNA U6 U6 spliceosomal RNA
GUGCUCGCGUCAGCAGCACAUACGCUGAAAUCGAAACGGGGCAGAGAAGAUUAGCGUGGCCCCUGCGCAAGGAUGACACGAGAAAAAAAAUAAAAAAUUUUU